GCCCUUCCUCCACAGCUUUGUUACCAUCUUCCUUACGGUACCCUCCUGCAGCCAUGAAAGUACCAUUGAAAGCUUUCCUCAUGGGAAGCAGAGUCUGAGGUGUUUCGAUUAGUUCAGCAGCGCUCCUGAUUCUUGGCUCCACAGCGUGACAGUAGAGGAUGUCGUAUUUGUUGAGAGAUUCGGCCAUGUAGAGCGCUAAAGCUUCGGGAUUCGAGUCUCCACAGUUGCCAUGGGCGCCGAAGGGUGACAGUCUGAUU
rnacentral:lncRNA from 1 species